GACGAACCGUGCGAACGUUAUUCGGAAUCACUGGGCUUAAAGCGCGUGUAGGUGGGACGGCACGUCGGUCGUUGAAAUCCCCCGGCUCAACCGGGGAAGGGGCGCCGAUACGACCGUCCUGGAGGGACGUAGGGGGACCUGGAACUUCCGGUGGAGCGGUGAAAUGCGUUGAGAUCGGAAGGAACGCCCGUGGCGAAAGCGAGGUCCUGGACGUUUUUUCUGACACUGAGACGGCGAAAGCCAGGGGAGCGAACGGG
rnacentral:rRNA from 1 species